GGGUGCUUGGUAUACUAGGGCCCAGAUUCAUUGAGGCAUUAAGAACUCGUGUUUUGGAGAGAGUAAUAUCUGAGGGAGGUGUGAGGGUCACCUUUCAAUCAGGACUAUAUUGAUUAGAAUGCCUCAUAGUUGAUGUGAUAAGCCAGAACUUGGAGAAUCUAAUCCAGAAUAAUAUAACCCGAAUAUUUAAUAGAGUAUUCGCCAUGUAUGGAAUGAUCAUCUCAUAGGAUAUGAGCCCAUAUCCUGGCACGAAACCGUUCCAUGACAUAUGCAGCCACAGUCGUAUGGGGAAGCCACUAUUCUAUAGUUUUAUCCGAUUUAAAAGAGAUAAUGCACAUGUACUUUGAGAGCACCUCUGUAAUAUAGUAGUAAUAUGUCCCACAGGGGUACACCUGUAAUUCAUUGAGAAGUAGGAUGGUGAGAAUCACUAGCUCAGUUAUUUUGAUGUGACCAAUUAUGUGUCCAUGUCAUAGACUUUGGAGCAUAGGUUCGUUGGGUCAACUUAAGACACGGUGAAACAUCAUUCGGGACUAGCUCAAUGGAGUACUUCAAUACCUAGAAUCAAUGCCUUGAGAUCUCACAUACUUUUUAAUGAUAAAUGAUGUUUAAAUAUGAUUUAAAUAUUUAUUGUAAUUGUUUGAGAAUUUUUUUUUAGGAAAAUAUCUCCUUAUCCCCUAUUUUUAACUUCCAUAUCUCAUGAGACCUAAGAAUUGAAGAUAUUACUUGUAAGUAAAAGGUCUAUGUUUUUUCUAUCUUACAAUCCCCAGGACCAUAAAUUUUUGACCUAAACAAAUACUAAAAUGACGCCUUAUUUA
rnacentral:lncRNA from 1 species